rnacentral:rRNA from 1 species
UACGAAGGGGGCUAGCGUUGCUCGGAAUGACUGGGCGUAAAGCGCACGUAGGCGGAUGUGCCAGUCAGGGGUGAAAUCCCGGAGCUCAACUUCGGAACUGCCCUUGAUACAGCACGUCUUGAGUCCGAGAGAGGUGGAUGGAAUUCCUAGUGUAGAGGUGAAAUUCGUAGAUAUUAGGAAGAACACCGGUGGCGAAGGCGGUCCACUGGCUCGGUACUGACGCUGAGGUGCGAAAGCGUGGGGAGCAAACAGG